UAUAGUCCGUAACAAAUACAAAUACAGAAAGGAACCAUAACAAUAUGACCUGCCAGCCUACCUUCUGGGGCUCUGCCUGAUGAACUUGCAUUUUUACUGCAUGGGGCAGAAGCAAAGGGAACACACUCUGUUGUUACCCCCUUGUAAGACCAGACCAUGGGUUCCUAGUCUCAUCUUUGACCACAUCAUCACCACCAUCUAUCAUCACAACCAAUCUCAAUUGGGAAAUGCAGUCAUUUAGGAAAUGUGCAGCUACUUGAAAUUUUUUAGGUACACUUUAGUUUCCCACCUUAGAGAAAGAUGGUGUGGCAUGAGAGAUAUCACAACUACGCAUGAUUGAAAGCUUUCUCUUGUCUCAAUCACAGAUGGUGUGCAUAUGCAGAUUGGUGAUUUUCUAAUCAAUACAGUGGCACUUGGGAAUAUCUGCAACAGAGACUUCCUUCCAGGUUGCCCAUUGCUAAGAUGACUCUGCUCCUCACAUGAGAUAUUAUAUUUACCAGCAAAAUUAGAUUCUCCUAGUCAACCUGAACUUUAAAGAUAUAAGUAUACUUGCAUUUUUUAAAUGAAAGAUUUGUUUUGAAGAAGGUGAGAGGAAAGAAUCAUCAACCUUGAUCAUCUCUUCUGAGCCAAGAUGUUUAACUCACAGCAGCAGCCAUUAAAGUUAGGAGAAAGACAUGAAUAAGAAGGAAAUGCAUACAUCCCGAUCUCACCGUAAAAAUGUUCUCCAACUAUCAUGUCCCUAACAAAUAAAUAUACCUUUA